ACUUAAACCACUUAAGAAUUGCGUUUUGGAGAAAAUGCAACGAAGACUUUAUUUUCCAAGUUGUUUAAUUUAGAAUGGUAUUAUUUACUGUAUAGUGAGUGUUUUAAGAAUAAUUGAUUAAAUUAAUCAUACCCAAGACCAACAAUGAUUUGAAUAUUUGUGGUGACGAAGAAGCAGGUAAAGAGGUACCAAUCAUCUUUUCGAUUCUGAGAACCCUGACCAGAGUAAUUAAACAGUAUCUAGAGACAACGCCACAAUGAAAGUUCAACCCAAAAACAAAACAAUUGCAUCGGCCAGGAAUCGAAACCGGUCCACCCGCGUGGCAGGCGAGCAUUCUACUUCGGCCACUUCCGGUUUGGUACCAUAGAAAGGAAGAUUUCAGCAAAACAACUGCAUCGGCCGGGAAUCGAACCCGGGCCGCCCGCGUGGCAGGCGAGCAUUCUACCACUGAACCACCGAUGCUUGUAUGGGUCGUCAUUUUGACGUUUUUCGUCACUUCCGGUUUGGUACUACCAUAGACAUCAAUAUUUCAGCAAAACAACUGCAUCGGCCGGGAAUCGAACCCGGGCCGCCCGCGUGGCAGGCGAGCAUUCUACCACUGAACCACCGAUGCUUGUAUAAAUCAUCAUUUUUGACAUACUCUGUCACUUCCGGUUUGGUACUACCACUGUCAGUAAUAUUAUAGCAAUACGAUUGCAUCGGCCGGGAAUCGAACCCGGGCCGCCCGCGUGGCAGGCGAGCAUUCUACCACUGAACCACC